CACGUAGGGUGCGAGCGUUGUCCGGAAUUAUUGGGCGUAAAGAGCUCGUAGGCGGUCUGUCGCGUCGGAUGUGAAAAACCCCAGGGCUCAACCCUGGGCCUGCAUUCGAUACGGGCAGACUAGAGUUCGGUAGGGGAGACUGGAAUUCCUGGUGUAGCGGUGAAAUGCGCAGAUAUCAGGAGGAACACCGGUGGCGAAGGCGGAUCUCUGGGCCUGUCCUGACGCUCAGGCGCGAAAGCUAGGGGAGCAAACAGG
rnacentral:rRNA from 1 species